ACAGAACCCCACCCUAUGGGGGCAGGAACCCCCAAAACCCCACACUAUGGGAACAGCACCCCAAAGCUUCACCCUAUGGGUGCAGGAACCCCAAGGACCCCACACUAUGAGUGCAGAACCCCACAGCCCCACCCUAUGGGUGCAGAACCCCACGUUAUGGGAACAGAACCCCACAGACCCCCACCUAUGGGUACAGAACCCCAUGCUAUGGGGGCAGGAACCCCAAAAACCCCAUACUAUGGGAACAGAACCCCACAGCCCCACUCUAUGGGUGCAAAACUCCAUGCUAUGGGUG